UAGCGGAGGAAAAGAAACCAACAGGGAUUGCCUUAGUAGCGGCGAGUGAAGCGGCAAAAGCUCAAAUUUGAAAUCUGGCUCUUUCAGAGUCCGAGUUGUAAUUUGAAGAAGGUAUCUUUGGGUCUGGCUCUUGUCUAUGUUUCUUGGAACAGAACGUCACAGAGGGUGAGAAUCCCGUGCGAUGAGAUGAUCCAGGCCUAUGUAAAGUUCCUUCGAAGAGUCGAGUUGUUUGGGAAUGCAGCUCUAAGUGGGUGGUAAAUUCCAUCUAAAGCUAAAUAUUGGCGAGAGACCGAUAGCGAACAAGUACAGUGAUGGAAAGAUGAAAAGAACUUUGAAAAGAGAGUGAAAAAGUACGUGAAAUUGUUGAAAGGGAAGGGCUUGAGAUCAGACUUGGUAUUUUGUAUGUUACUUCUUCGGGGGUGGCCUCUACAGUUUAUCGGGCCAGCAUCAGUUUGGGCGGUAGGAGAAUUGCGUUGGAAUGUGGCACGGCUUCGGUUGUGUGUUAUAGCCUUCGUCGAUACUGCCAGCCUAGACUGAGGACUGCGGUUUAUACCUAGGAUGUUGGCAUAAUGAUCUUAAUUCUCCCGUCUUGAAACACAGACCA
rnacentral:rRNA from 1 species